rnacentral:rRNA from 1 species
AGGAAAGAGAAGUCAUAACAAGGUCUCCGUAGGUGAACCUGCGGAAGGAUCAUUG